UAUGCUUAUCUACUCAAUAUCACAAAGCAGCAUCGCAUCCUUGUCCAAAGGAGCCUAAAGGGGUCCCAAAGCUUUCAAAGACAUCCACAGGCAGGAAGAAAGAAAAAGACAGUUCUUAUCAGAUGUCUUUUGCUCUCUCUCUUUUUAAAUCACAGAUUGAAAUAUUUUCUAGAAGCUCCUGACUUGCCCUCAGAUGUCACUGGACAGAAAAGGAUCUUAUAUAUACAUCUGAGUCCACACUGACAUUAUUUCCAUUGUGACUUGAUCAGAGAAGCUGUGAAGUUAAGCAGUCAUCUAGGAACAAAAGGAUCCAAAGUUUGCUACACACUUAAGAACAGGUGAUUCUCAUUGGCUGAACUCAACAGCAAACCAAGGGGCAUGCAAGUUUAUUGAUACAAUCAAUAAAGUUCAGGUGAAGGGCACAGCAUCCUGAGUGAACCUUCUGCCAUAAGGUGAAGAAACCCUGCUUGAUGACCCUACUGAAGCUGACUCUGGUUGACCUGCAUUCAAGCUGCGACACCAGAGUUCUCUCUCAUUCACCAAGGCAGACCCAAGUUCUGCGUCUUUCCACAUGGCUUGAACAUGCACUGCAAUCAGCAUGUUAAUUUGGGAUGGCUGAGAGCGCAUCUCCCUAUCUACUUGUUUCUCUUAACAUGGACAUUUUUAAUCAGGCACCUAAUUUGGUCCUGGGGGAUCUCACUCUGCUUUAAUAAUACAUGUGACAAAAUUUACCUCUUUGCUUUCAAAGUUGUUAAUUAUGGAGUGCAUUUCAAAUGAGCUAUUGCAGCCAAGAGAUCAUCUCUUUUGGAUGCUUACAUACUUUAA